UCUGCUUUAUCCAUGAAGCUGAAUUUGUCAAAUCACAUUCAUAUCCAUAGGAAUAGAUGCUCUCACAAAUGCAGAAUGAUGACUUUCACUGAAGGAGAAGGCAAAAAGAAGCAGCUGGGCUGUGAAGGAGAAUGUUAUUAAGAGGAACUUGACUGUCUGACAUUGCAAUAAUACAAACAAUGAUUGCUGCAAGGAAAUAGCUUUCCGCAAUCAUAUUUUCUCAUUGUAAGGUUACUGUACCAAGAAAGUCUCCUUUUCAAGGAGUUGGGCCUACUCCACACUUCUAUUUUGGCUGCUCAAGGUGGAAGCUAUACACUCUCAGUGAACCCUACACAAUAACUCAGUCUUCCCACACACUGACCCAAGUGACCACUGCAGAGUCCCUUCUGAGGUAACUUCCUCAGGUCAAAGGGUUUGCCAGGGUAGAGCAGAACAGGUAGGGGAUGAACUGCAGAGGACUGAAUUCUUCCUCAUUUAGGUAACACAUAGAUAAAUGCAUCUAAUGCUUUUUAAAACUGCAUUGUGACUGAGCACUUGCAUUUACCUUUGAAAGAAAUACUUUCAGCAGAUGUUUGAGGGGGCCUGUUCAGCGAAGGAGGAGUGGGCAAGAAACUGGAAUUAAUACAAGAACUUCUAGCUAGCCAUGAAAGAGACUAUUUGUCUGGCAGAGAUCAUUAAUCUUAGUGACCUGGUAUGAUUUGAUCAUACUUUAAGCAUUACCCUGUGGCCUGUGAAUGCCUUUUUUCCUUAAUGGUAACUUUUGAAUAACAAGGCAGGAGGGAAGACAACUGGAAGACCUAUGGUGGAAGCCAUAGGUGCAGUUUGAUCAUCAAGAUCAUACCUACCUACACCAGAUGCAAUAUUUGUCAACACUUAUCAUAUUUAUAACCUCUGCCACUUUACCUGAAGCAACAGAGACACUAUAGGAUAAACAAGCCAGGUAAGUAACCAAAGUUGAGGAUGGAUAUUAAGAAUGAUGAAAAAAAAUACUUGUACCAAAGCAAACCUUACCAAAAUGGAACUUUUCUUCUCUUUGAGGAUGUAAGAGGCCUUGAAGAUACUUCAGCUAAAAGGGUAGUACCAGGAAAUCUUGUUCAAGAAUCUGCAUUGUAAUGGAGAAGCUGCUCGCAAAUGAAGACUACUGGAAAUCAAACAGCCAUAUAUGGGAGAUAGAAGCCCCAUUAAGACUCACAAUGCUUUUCUACAAGGGUUUGUAGCAAAGAUUUGAGUAACGAAAGUUCACACAUGUCUGAACUAAACUGGUCUUUGCUAUAAACCUGCCCAUUACUGUGGUGGAGCAGAGCAAAGCUUAAAUAAUGCACAGGGAUUCCACAACUGUUCAGAAGAAAAAAAAGGAUACCAUGACCGAUCAACACAGCCCACGAGAAUGAAGCUGAAAACUGCAUCAUUUCAAAUUAUAAUUCAGUCAGGACAGCAGGACUAACCCCUGUCCUGAAAAGAAAACAAAAUGCAGUGGGCCAUGAUGAGUCCUCAGUAACAUAUCUAAAAUUUAAAUACACAAUAUGAAUUGCUUCAAUACUAUCUCAGAGUCUCAUGAGAAUAAAUCUACCCCUUACUGUACUAUAUGCACAGUGCCUAAGAUGUCUUUUACCCAGAAACUGACUGAACUCGACACUGCUCUUUUGGGAACUCAUCUGGUACUACUAAAAUGAAAAGAAAUAGGACAAGACACAUGGCGUAGUCUCACCAAAAAGACUGUAGCAUUGUAAUGUCCUGGUGGUUUUUUGAACUUCAUGUAACCUAUGAUUGUUUUAUACAUUUUUCAUCUUUUUAUUCUGCAGAAGCUUUUACUUUUGUUCGAUUUCAUUCUUUUUAGUUUCUCCUGCUUGAGAUUAUAGAACAAUCUGAGAGGAAACAGUUCUGCAUGACAGGAACACAAAUUGCACAAGUUAAAUACAACCUUGAUGUAACAUCAUCCCUCGGAUUUCAGACACCUUACAGAGACUGAUGUCAUUUAAGCACAAGAAAGAAGCCAAAACCAUAAAGAAGAUCAAUAAACAAAGUACAGCUUCAAGUGCAAAUUGUUCAAAAUGAAAUAGUACAGCAGAGAAGUGAAGGCAAGAGACAUUUUUGGAAGACAUAUACAAUUGGAUCGUAAGAUCCUGCUUGGUAGGUCAGACCAGUGGGCCCACUAGCUGUUUCCAGUAAAGGAAUAUUUCAUAUUGUGGAGGAAGACAACCCUCUCUGUCCACUCCAUUCAUCUAAUCAGCAGCGUAAACUGCCAGAAUGAGACCUUUCAUGACCCCUCCAUUUAUGCUCUGAAGCAUGAGUUUUGAUUUCCCAUAUGUUAUUCUGAAUAACAUUGCUGGUAAUAAAAGUCUGCUUUUUUUACA